rnacentral:rRNA from 1 species
CAUGACUUCAGAUCAGACGGGGAGACCCGCUGAGUUUAAGCAUAUCAAUAAGCGGAGGA